GCCAGACUCCUACGGGAGGCAGCAGUGGGGGAUAUUGCACAAUGGGGGGAACCCUGGUGCAGCGACGCCGCGUGGGUGAAGGAGUGCUUCGGCAUGUAAAGCCCUAUCGGCAGGGAAGAAGGAGGACGGUACCUGACUAAGAAGCCCCGGCUAACUACGUGCCAGCAGCCGCGGGAAUACGUAGGGGGCAAGCGUUAUCCGGAUUUACUGGGUGUAAAGGGGGCGCAGACGGCAGCGCAAGCCAGGAGUGAAAGCCCGGGGCCCAACCCCGGGACUGCUCUUGGAACUGCGCGGCUGGAGUGCAGGAGGGGCAGGCGGAAUUCCUGGUGCAGCGGUGAAAUGCGUAGAUAUCAGGAGGAACACCGGUGGCGAAGGCGGCCUGCUGGACUGCGACUGACGUUGAGGCCCGAAAGCGUGGGGAGCAAACAGGAUUAGAUACCCUGGUAAAC
rnacentral:rRNA from 1 species